GGCGACGUGGCCAAGUGGUAAGGCAGGGGCCUGCAAAGCCCUGAUCACGAGUUCGAAUCUCGUCGUCGCCUCUA
rnacentral:tRNA from 1 species